UUGGAAAGCACAGCAUUCCUAAUGAUCAGCAGUGGUUUGGCUAAAAGGAAAGUGUUACCAGCUUGGACACAGGGGUGGAUCAUGCAGGGUGCUACAGACUCCAUAAAGCUCUGAACUAAUCAAGCCCCACUGAACAUAAUGGGAAGUGACUGCACUCAGCAUCUCUCAGGAGCAUGUUGCAAGAAUGGAUCACACUUAGGGGGAAGAAAAACAUGUACACAAAACACUGCAUGAAGGACAUGGAAGAAGCAGUCUCCUAGCCUUCCGCUGAGUAUGUUGGGCUGCAGCUGUAAGAUGAAGCAACUUCAGGGGAAAGUCCUGUUCACUUCCAGCUCUCCUGCCUGAGCAAACGCUCAGACACUCAAGGAAGAUGGAGCUAUGCCAUCCCAUAAACACACUGCACUUGGAAGGGGAUGAAACCUUACUUUGAAAUGCAACAUCUUCAGCAGCCAGAUGAGCACACGUGUGACCAGGUUUUCAAAGCCGCCUGAUGUGGCCAAUUUUGGACAGUUUUCCAUAAAGAAGAAAAAGGGCCCUAUAUUAUCCUCCUCAUGAUAUUUCAAGUUUUAAUUCCAAACAAUGGAGGUGCCAGGGCUUGUCAAUGACAUGACUGUAACAACUUUAUGAGAACUGGCAAGGAAAUUAAUUUCUCCUACACCUUAUUCUCAGAAACCUUGGAGUUAUUUUGUCUGGACUACUUGAGGCGGGGAGGUUACCUUAAUGCUGACAACUAUAUUAUGUAGUCAGGACAUCUGCCAUGCUGUUAUCAACAAAAAAGGCAUGAUUUAAUUAUCAUAAGCACUACUUUCACUUGUUUGUGAAAACAGAGCAUUAACUUUUUCUUGUUCCCUGUGGAAAAAAUAGAAAUACUCACACACAUCCCAAAAAAAGAAGACAGAUGAGGCACAAUAAAGUCUGAUAAUUCUCUCUCUUUUGGCUUUUCAGUUCCAUCGCAGCUCGCCAAAUUAAGAUUUAUGUGCCAUUUUGUAUCUGUUGUUGCUUCUUUUCCCCCCUUACGGGGAUACAGUUGGAUAAGUUUGGAUAGGACAUUGUAUCCCUGAAGCCAAACUGAAAGGUUUAUAAAGUUGCUAAUAAAAGUUUGGAUCAGGGCCCAAAUAUCAAUCAUCCACUCAUUGUCUUUUUAAACGAGCUCAGGCAUUUUCCCAACCACUCCCAGCAGGUCUCUGCCACUAUUUUAAACUAAGAUUUCAAUUUUAUUUUUUUUUCCCGUGUUGACCUGAAUAAUUUUUCUCUCUCCCUCUCCUUACCUGCCAAAUGCAUCCAUCAGGAUUUUGCCAUGGGCUAUCUGCUUUUGAAGUUAAGAGGAAUUCACUAAUCAUGAGUGUCAACUCCACAAUAAAUGCCAUCACCAUAUGGUAUAUGCUUCUAUUGGGAAUUAUCGCAAAAGGCCUAGCUGUGAAAGUCUGGCUAUAUGUUAGAGGGGUUUUAUUGCUAACUUUCAUAACUCAUGUCAAGUCUUUCAGUUUCUGUAUUCAUUGGCUUAAGUGAGUGCAACUGUUUCCUGAAUUUAUAAAAAUGUUGUCAAGAUCCCUUGAUCUCUCUUCCUCUGCCUCUCUCACACAAACACGUUGAAACACAUUUAUACACAGAGGAAUAUCAUACACAGUGGCAUACAAAUCUUGCAAAAGAGAAAGUUUGUCAAUAGUAUGUCAUUAUGCUUACUCAAAAAAUUCCUCUGUGUGUUAAAUUAAUGAUAAACAUAUCAUAAACACUGCUGAAGGCUUUACAACCUCCUGUCCCAUCACACCAUCCUGAGUGUAAUUCCAUAAUACACAGAAAAAACUAAGUUUGAAAAGCUGUGAGCAGAAUUAACUGAGGUUGCUGACAUAACUGAAAGAAAAAAAAAAAAACUAACUGGAGAGCAUUUGCUUUAGCUAAAGAAGACAAUACCAAAGUGAUGUAACUGCAACUUGUAAAUCUGUGGAAGUGUACUGCACAUUUAAAACAAGAAAUCUGCCUUCUUUAAGAACCUGUCCAAUAAAGAAUUAAAAAAUACAUCUGUGUUUAAACUUCUCACCCUCUAACAUUCUCGACUAGAAGUACAAAUAAAAUUAAGAAAAUUCUCAGAAAAACACUUUCGUGAUCCAAUGAGGUAAGAAGAAAGAAAACUUUUCAAGCAUUUCACUUACCAACUUAGUGACAGAGAAAAAAAUUAUACCAAAAAUAAAAUCUCAGUGCAACUUGAAACACUUGAAACAGCUCUCUUGACUUUCCCUGAGGCUCUAGAAACAUGUGAGUGUCCUUCAUAUCCCAUGUCACUGCCACCAGCCACAUGGAAAUGUCUCCAGUGGGCCUUAUGGCAUUUCAAGAAGACUAGAAGUCUCUGUUUAGGCAAUGACUCCCCUCCCCAUUUAUUACAGUAUAUUAAUACCCUUUAGAUGCAAACUGAAAUAAUAACUUUAAAACUCAUUUAAAAAAACAACUAUAUUUCAGAAACAUGUACCCCUUCACGCAAAAAAAAAAAAAGAAUUUUAAUACUGUCCCUAAGCAGAAUUCAUCCAUUUUUAAGGCUUCUGUCAAGUGUUUCUGGGAACUGUAGGGACAACUGCAUUUAAUUUUCCUGAUUAAUAAUACAAAUGAACUGCUGGCAACAUCACAUCAAAACAAAAGUAGAAGAAUCAGAAAAACUGUUGUAA